AAAGUUGUUACAGGUUUUCCGUGGAGAACGCAGGUGACAGCGGAGGGAUAUUAAAGAAGUUGCAAAACUCCCCACAAACCCAUUCGCGAAACGUCUCCUAAACGUCGUUGCUUCGGCGGGCUCGCCCGCCGGGGGGACGCUACCAGACUCUUGCAGUUAUUCGGCCCUCUCUGAGUUACACGAUUUUUUAAAUAAGUCCAAAACUUUUCAACAACGGAUCUCUUGGUUUCUGGCCAUCGAUGAAGAACCGCAGCGAAAUGCCGAUAAAGUUAAUGUGAAUUGCAGAAUUCAGUGAAUCAUCGAAUUCUUUGAACGCACAUUGCGCCCGCCAGUAUUCUUGGCGGGCAUGCCUGUUUCGAGCGUCAUUUUCAACCUUCAAGCCCUGCUUGUGUUGGGGUCCUGCGGCUGCCCGCAGGCCCUGAAAACCAGUGGCGGGCUCGCUAGUCACACCGAGCGCAGUAGCACAUCUCGCUCAGGGCGUGCGGCGGGUUCUUGCCGUUAAACACCCCCCUUUCCACAGGUUGACCUCGGAUCAGGUAGGAAUACCCGCUGAACUUAAGCAUAUCAAUAAGCGGAGGAAAAGAAACCAACAGGGAUUGCCCCAGUAACGGCGAGUGAAGCGGCAACAGCUCAAAUUUGAAAUCCGGCUUCGGCCCGAGUUGUAAUUUGUAGAGGAAGCUUUUGGCGCGGCACCUACUGAGUCCCCUGGAACGGGGCGCCAGAGAGGGUGAGAGCCCCGUAUAGUGGGAUGCCUAGCCUCUGUAAAGCUCCUUCGACGAGUCGAGUAGUUUGGGAAAUGCUGCUCAAAAAUGGGAGGUAAAUUUUCUUCUAAAGCUAAAUAUUGGCCAGAGACCGAUAGCGCACAAGUAGAGUGAUCGAAAGAUGAAAAGCACUUUGAAAAAGAGGGUUAAACAGCACGUGAAAUUGUUGAAAAGGGAAAGCGCUUGUGACCAGACUUUGCGCCCGGGUUGAUCAUUCGGUGUUCCUCACCGUUGGCACUCCUCCGGGCUCAGGCCAAGCCAUCGGUUUCUCGGCGGGGGGAACAAAGGCCUAGGGAACGUAGCUCCUCUCCGGGAGUGUUAUAGCCCCGUGGGUGCAAUGCCCUCGCGGGGACCCGAGGUUUCGCGCAUUCGCAAAGGAUGUGUCAUGUCGAAAGGGUCUACACCCUUUAAAAAGAACAAAA
rnacentral:rRNA from 1 species